AUGAACGCUGGCGGCGUGCCUAAUACAUGCCAGUCGAGCGAACAGAUCAGGAGCUUGCUCCUUUGACGUUAGCGGCGGACGGGUGAGUAACACGUGGGUAACCUACCUAUAAGACUGGGAUAACUUCGGGAAACCGGAGCUAAUACCGGAUAACAUUUGGAACCGCAUGGUUCUAAAGUGAAAGAUGGUUUUGCUAUCACUUAUAGAUGGACCCGCGCCGUAUUAGCUAGUUGGUAAGGUAACGGCUUACCAAGGCAACGAUACGUAGCCGACCUGAGAGGGUGAUCGGCCACACUGGAACUGAGACACGGUCCAGACUCCUACGGGAGGCAGCAGUAGGGAAUCUUCCGCAAUGGGCGAAAGCCUGACGGAGCAACGCCGCGUGAGUGAUGAAGGGUUUCGGCUCGUAAAACUCUGUUAUUAGGGAAGAACAAAUGUGUAAGUAACUGUGCACGUCUUGACGGUACCUAAUCAGAAAGCCACGGCUAACUACGUG
rnacentral:rRNA from 1 species